UACAGAGGUCUCAAGCGUUGUUCGGAUUCAUUGGGCGUAAAGGGUGCGUAGGCGGCGCGGUAAGUCGGGUGUGAAAUCUUGGAGCUUAACUCCGAAACUGCAUUCGAUACUGCCGUGCUUGAGGACCGGAGAGGAGACUGGAAUUUACGGUGUAGCGGUGAAAUGCGUAGAUAUCGUAAGGAAGACCAGUGGCGAAGGCGGGUCUCGUGGACAGUUCCUGACGCUGAGGCACGAAGGCCAGGGGAGCAAACGGG
rnacentral:rRNA from 1 species